rnacentral:rRNA from 1 species
CCUACGGGAGGCAGCAGUGAGGAAUAUUGGUCAAUGGACGAGAGUCUGAACCAGCCAAGUAGCGUGAAGGAUGACUGCCCUAUGGGUUGUAAACUUCUUUUAUAUGGGACUAAAAUGUUCCACGUGUGGGAUUUUGUAUGUACCAUAUGAAUAAGGAUCGGCUAACUCCGUGCCAGCAGCCGCGGUAAUACGGAGGAUCCGAGCGUUAUCCGGAUUUAUUGGGUUUAAAGGGAGCGUAGGUGGAUUGUUAAGUCAGUUGUGAAAGUUUGCGGCUCAACCGUAAAAUUGCAGUUGAAACUGGCAGUCUUGAGUACAGUAGAGGUGGGCGGAAUGCGUGGUGUAGCGGUGAAAUGCUUAGAUAUCACGAAGAACUCCGAUUGCGAAGGCAGUUCACUGGACUGCAACUGACACUGAGGCUCGAAAGUGUGGGUAUCAAACAGGAUUAGAUACCCUUGUAGUC